rnacentral:rRNA from 1 species
GCUUCCAGGAAAAGCCUCUAAGCAUCAGGUAACAUCAAAUCGUACCCCAAACCGACACAGGUGGUCAGGUAGAGAAUACCAAGGCGCUUGAGAGAACUCGGGUGAAGGAACUAGGCAAAAUGGUGCCGUAACUUCGGGAGAAGGCACGCUGACACGUAGGUGAAGUGAUUUACUCAUGGAGCUGAAGUCAGUCGAAGAUACCAGCUGGCUGCAACUGUUUAUUAAAAACACAGCACUGUGCAAACACGAAAGUGGACGUAUACGGUGUGACGCCUGCCCGGUGCCGGAAGGUUAAUUGAUGGGGUCAGCGCAAGCGAAGCUCCUGAUCGAAGCCCCGGUAAACGGCGGCCGUAACUAUAACGGUCCUAAGGUAGCGAAAUUCCUUGUCGGGUAAGUUCCGACCUGCACGAAUGGCGUAAUGAUGGCCAGGCUGUCUCCACCCGAGACUCAGUGAAAUUGAACUCGCUGUGAAGAUGCAGUGUACCCGCGGCAAGACGGAAAGACCCCGUGAACCUUUACUAUAGCUUGACACUGAACAUUGAGCCUUGAUGUGUAGGAUAGGUGGGAGGCUUUGAAGCGUGGACGCCAGUCUGCGUGGAGCCGACCUUGAAAUACCACCCUUUAAUGUUUGAUGUUCUAACGUGGACCCGUAAUCCGGGUUGCGGACAGUGUCUGGUGGGUAGUUUGACUGGGGCGGUCUCCUCCUAAAGAGUAACGGAGGAGCACGAAGGUUGGCUAAUCCUGGUCGGACAUCAGGAGGUUAGUGCAAUGGCAUAAGCCAGCUUGACUGCGAGCGUGACGGCGCGAGCAGGUGCGAAAGCAGGUCAUAGUGAUCCGGUGGUUCUGAAUGGAAGGGCCAUCGCUCAACGGAUAAAAGGUACUCCGGGGAUAACAGGCUGAUACCGCCCAAGAGUUCAUAUCGACGGCGGUGUUUGGCACCUCGAUGUCGGCUCAUCACAUCCUGGGGCUGAAGUAGGUCCCAAGGGUAUGGCUGUUCGCCAUUUAAAGUGGUACGCGAGCUGGGUUUAGAACGUCGUGAGACAGUUCGGUCCCUAUCUGCCGUGGGCGCUGGAGAACUGAGGGGGGCUGCUCCUAGUACGAGAGGACCGGAGUGGACGCAUCACUGGUGUUCGGGUUGUCAUGCCAAUGGCACUGCCCGGUAGCUAAAUGCGGAAGAGAUAAGUGCUGAAAGCAUCUAAGCACGAAACUUGCCCCGAGAUGAGUUCUCCCUGAGACUUAGAGUCUCCUGAAGGAACGUUGAAGACGACGACGUUGAUAGGCCGGGUGUGUAAGCGCAGCGAUGCGUUGAGCUAACCGGUACUAAUGAACCGUGAGG